rnacentral:misc_RNA from 1 species
UAAUAAGUGUUUUAUGGCACUUUUUAAAUCCAUAUCCACCUUGUGUGCAAUGUCAGUCGAUCUUCUUCAUGGAAAUCGACCAAACAUCAACCUUUAUCUUUUAACUCUUUGUCUGAAAAAUAUUAUGAAUAAACAAUUCAAAAUA